UACGUAGGGGGCAAGCGUUAUCCGGAUUUACUGGGUGUAAAGGGAGCGUAGACGGCGAUGCAAGUCUGAAGUGAAAGGCGGGGGCCCAACCCCCGGACUGCUUUGGAAACUGUAUGACUGGAGUGCAGGAGAGGUAAGUGGAAUUCCUAGUGUAGCGGUGAAAUGCGUAGAUAUUAGGAGGAACACCAGUGGCGAAGGCGGCUUACUGGACUGUAACUGACGUUGAGGCUCGAAAGCGUGGGGAGCAAACAGG
rnacentral:rRNA from 1 species